rnacentral:ncRNA from 12 species
GCUUUCAACAUCCCCGUUCCGGAUCAAGCGUUCGCCUUUCGCGGAAUAGCCGCAAGCGCAUUCGCAUCCGGAUCUGAAGGC